AUGGCUACUGGGACAUUGCGUGCAAGUGAGGCUGCUGCUUUAGCAACUAAAAAAGUUAUGCAAAGAUAUGGAGAUACAUUUGCUGCUAUGAACUAAUGACAACGAAGUUGUCUUUAUAAAUUCAUCUGUAUUGGAAAUUUAAUAUCCAACUGAUUUGAUGUAAGGUAGACUUAUUGGAUGCUUAGUAGGAGAUGAGCAAACAUUCUUCCUUGAAAGAGAUCCGCAUUAUUGUACUCUUUCUGG
rnacentral:misc_RNA from 1 species